CCUACGGGGGGCAGCAGUGGGGAAUAUUGGGCAAUGGGCGCAAGCCUGACCCAGCAACGCCGCGUGAAGGAAGAAGGCUUUCGGGUUGUAAACUUCUUUUGUCAGGGAAGAGUAGAAGACGGUACCUGACGAAUAAGCCACGGCUAACUACGUGCCAGCAGCCGCGGUAAUACGUAGGUUGCAAGCGUUGUCCGGAUUUACUGGGUGUAAAGGGCGUGUAGGCGGGAGUGCAAGUCAGAUGUGAAAACUAUGGGCUCAACCCAUAGCCUGCAUUUGAAACUGUACUUCUUGAGUGCUGGAGAGGCAAUCGGAAUUCCGUGUGGAGCGGGGAAAUGCGUAGAUAUACGGAUGAACACCAGUGGCGAAGGCGGAUUGCUGGACAGUAACUGACGCUGAGGCGCGAAAGCGUGGGGAGCAAACAGGAUUAGAUACCCGAGUAGUC
rnacentral:rRNA from 1 species